rnacentral:rRNA from 1 species
UACCAGCUCUCCGAGUGGUAGGGAUGAUUAUUGGGCUUAAAGCGUCCGUAGCCGGCUUGGCAAGUUUCCUGUUAAACUCUGCGACUUAAUCGUUGAAUCGCGGGAAAUACUACUAGGCUAGGAGGCGGGAGAGGUCAACGGUACUUCUGGGGUAGGGGUGAAAUCCUAUAAUCCCGGGAGGACCACCAGUGGCGAAGGCUGUUGACUAGAACGCGCUCGACGGUGAGGGACGAAAGCUGGGGGAGCGAACCGGAUUAGAUACCCGGGUAGUCCCAGCUGUAAACGAUGCGGGCUAGGUGUUGGGAUGGGCUACGUGCCAUUUCAGUGCCGCAGGGAAGCCAUUAAGCCCGCCGCCUGGGGAUACGGCCGCAAGGCUGAAACUUAAAGGAACUUGGGCGGGGGAGCACCACAAGGCGUGAAGCUUGCGGUUC